GCCUUAUGAUCUUGGUCUUGGCUAAGCGAUUUGUCGUCUACUGCUGCUGGAGUGAUACACUGCCUUCUAAAAUCACCGGCAAGGAAGGAUAAACACACGUUUCACUCUUUCCGCAUCACCAUCAAAGCCUCUUUGGCCAAGCUUCACAUUCAAGGCCAACACCAGAAGAUCAACUGAGCAGUGACUCGUUCAGCCCUGCCAUCUCCUGCCAAAUCCUCAAGCACACAACAACCUCACCCAAGUCUAGCAAGCACGGCAGGAUCCCCACUCCCAAUCCUAGAGGCAUACCAUCAUAUAGUAGCAAACUGAACCUUUGGGGCUCAGGAGGGUGUGGUUCCAUGGCCUGCACACCUCCACCCCUGUGACAACCUACGCAGUGCUGCAGGACCACCAUGAUAUGAUGCUUCCUAAUUCUUCGCUGAUCCAUGGUCAACCAUCCCAGGCUUUCAUUUGAAGAGAACAGGAAGUGGAGAUGAAAUUAGAAUCUCCUGAGUGAUAAGAAGUAAUGUAAAUCAUCAAGGACACCAACAUGACUGAUGCUACACAAAAAGAGCCUGAAAAGUUCAAAUAUCAAGCUGCAGCAUUCCUGACAGGGGUUGCUGGAGUCUCAAUGCUGGGUGGAUUUGGCAUGACACUUGGUAUGGCCAAAAAGAAGGAUCCCAACAUGUUCAACAAGGGCAUCAUGGGAGCCCGGGAGCUGCAUGAGGCAGGAGGUGCCCUUGCCCUCAGAGCUCUGGGCUGGGGUUCACUGUAUGCUGUUGCAGGCUUUUCAGUGUUUUGUUUCUCAAUCUGGAAACUCUCUGGUGCUAAAGAUCUGAAAGAUUUCCGAAUGAAGGCCGGAAGUGUUCUUCCCAGGAUUCCAAAGAAUGAUCCUCCUCAGUCCAGGACAGAGUUUAGUGGUCUGACAGACCUCUUGCAGUACAUUAUUACAGAAGAUGAGAGGAAGAAACAAGGACUAAAGGAAACACCUGAGGCAGCAGACAAACAGCAAUGAUAUCUAAUCCAUCAAGGAAUUGUACAUAAGGGUGUUGUGUGUUAAUGUUCAUAAUGACAGUGUGCAUGAUACAGGAUGCACAGUAUUAAUGGAUUGUUUAUUAUAAAGGAUAUGCACAAAGAAAAUAUGAAAAAGCAAUAAAGUUGAUUAAAGACAUUGACAAGGAGGCUCAGAGUUGAGAUAUUAAGUUAAGAAUUUAUACAAAAGAAUAGUUUGGCCUGCUGUAAGGAAUAAAUGCAUCCCCAGA